rnacentral:rRNA from 1 species
CUCAGUUCGGAUUGGAGGCUGAAACCCGCCUCCAUGAAGUUGGAUUCGCUAGUAACCGCGCAUCAGCCAUGGCGCGGUGAAUACGUUCCCGGGCCUUGUACACACCGCCCGUCAAGCCAUGGGAGCCGGGGGUGCCUGAAGUUCGUUACCGCAAGGAUCGACCUAGGGCAAAACUGGUGACUGGGGCUAAGUCGUAACAAGGUAAC